CCUACGGGAGGCAGCAGUGAGGAAUAUUGGUCAAUGGACGAGAGUCUGAACCAGCCAAGUAGCGUGAAGGAUGACUGCCCUACGGGUUGUAAACUUCUUUUAUAUGGGAAUAAAAUGUCUUACGUGUGGGACUUUGUAUGUACCAUAUGAAUAAGGAUCGGCUAACUCCGUGCCAGCAGCCGCGGUAAUACGGAGGAUCCGAGCGUUAUCCGGAUUUAUUGGGUUUAAAGGGAGCGUAGGUGGAUUGUUAAGUCAGUUGUGAAAGGUUGCGGCUCAACCGUGGAAUUGCAGUUGAAACUGGCAGUCUUGAGUACAGUAGAGGUAGGCGGAAUUCGUGGUGUAGCGGUGAAAUGCUUAGAUAUCACGAAGAACUCCGAUUGCGAAGGCAGCUCACUGGACUGCAACUGACGCUGAGGCUCGAAAGUGUGGGUAUCGAACAGGAUUAGAUACCCUAGUAGUC
rnacentral:rRNA from 1 species